rnacentral:rRNA from 1 species
CCUACGGGGGGCAGCAGUGAGGAAUAUUGGUCAAUGGACGAGAGUCUGAACCAGCCAAGUAGCGUGAAGGAUGACUGCCCUAUGGGUUGUAAACUUCUUUUAUAUGGGAAUAAAACGUUCCACGUGUGGGAUUUUGUAUGUACCAUAUGAAUAAGGAUCGGCUAACUCCGUGCCAGCAGCCGCGGUAAUACGGAGGAUCCGAGCGUUAUCCGGAUUUAUUGGGUUUAAAGGGAGCGUAGGUGGAUUGUUAAGUCAGUUGUGAAAGUUUGCGGCUCAACCGUAAAAUUGCAGUUGAAACUGGCAGUCUUGAGUACAGUAGAGGUGGGCGGAAUUCGAGGUGUAGCGGUGAAAUGCUUAGAUAUCACGAAGAACUCCGAUUGCGAAGGCAGUUCACUGGACUGCAACUGACACUGAGGCUCGAAAGUGUGGGUAUCAAACAGGAUUAGAUACCCCUGUAGUC